UACGGAGGGUCCAAGCGUUAUCCGGAAUCAUUGGGUUUAAAGGGUCCGUAGGCGGUUUUGUAAGUCAGUGGUGAAAGCCCAUCGCUCAACGGUGGAACGGCCAUUGAUACUGCAAGACUUGAAUUAUUGGGAAGUAACUAGAAUAUGUAGUGUAGCGGUGAAAUGCUUAGAGGUUACAUGGAAUACCAAUUGCGAAGGCAGGUUACUACCAAUAUAUUGACGCUGAUGGACGAAAGCGUGGGGAGCGAACAGG
rnacentral:rRNA from 1 species